rfam:Gossypium raimondii Chr13_contig_1325, whole genome shotgun sequence.
UGAUAAAAAUUUCAUCCAUUUGUACUGUUAAAAACUGACACGACUGAUAGAAUAACCAGACAGUGAUAUUUGACAUGCGACGUUACCUCAUAUGAAUGCACAGUAUGGCUGACAGAAUAACCAGAUACUGACAUAUAACAUGCCACGCAUAUCUCAUGCUGAUAUAUAGAGAUUGAUUUUUAAGAAUAAAAAUAUAUGAAAUUUUUAACA